UUUGAUCCUGGCUCAGAACGAACGCUGGCGGCAUGCCUAACACAUGCAAGUCGAACGAACCCUUCGGGGUGAGUGGCGCACGGGUGCGUAACGCGUGGGAACCUGCCUUUAGGUUCGGAAUAACAGUUAGAAAUGACUGCUAAUACCGAAUAAUGUNUUCGGACCAAAGAUUUAUCGCCUUUAGAUGGGCCCGCGUUGGAUUAGUUAGUUGGUGGGGUAAUGGCCUACCAAGACGACGAUCCAUAGCUGGUCUGAGAGGAUGAUCAGCCACACUGGGACUGAGACACGGCCCAGACUCCUACGGGAGGCAGCAGUGGGGAAUAUUGGACAAUGGGCGAAAGCCUGAUCCAGCAAUGCCGCGUGAGUGAUGAAGGCCUUAGGGUUGUAAAGCUCUUUUACUAGGGAUGAUAAUGACAGUACCUAGAGAAUAAGCUCCGGCUAACUCCGUGCCAGCAGCCGCGGUAAUAAGGG
rnacentral:rRNA from 1 species